UUAAAUGCUUGUUCCAUAGUGACAUACUCCUUUGUAGGCAAAUGAACAAAGGCAUCUGGUACAAAAACUUCAUUGAUCGUGACCUUGACCUCAUCUUCUCCUAGCUCUAUACCAUGCACUACAGUGGUUGCAUCAUAGACUAUGCCACAAGCCACUAGCAUGGUCUCGAUAGGAGAGAGAAUAUAUAGCUGACAUGGACGAAUGUCGUCCAUGUCAUCCCCUAGGGCACUGUUAAACCCCUGGCAAGUGUACCAGAUCGUUAUCAAGUAAUAUAAUUAGUAAAUCCAAUAUCGUUCUUCCCAAAGGACUCAAAGGCCUAAUCUUUCAUGUAAACUAAUUGCAUAAGAUUUGAGAAAGGAAUAAAUUUUGUGAUUUGUAUGCAAAGAACAAAAAUAAACAUGCAAUGCAAUUGAUUCAAUUGGUUUUGAGAAACUAUGGAUGAAUGGUGUUGUUGUGGUUUACAAUUUCAUCUUAUCUACUCUCAUAUAUCUACUCUUCUUAUUUACUUCAUUUAUUUAUCUAAUUGCAUGCAAACUUUCUUGGUCUACCCUUAACCCAAUCCCUUGGUGAAAAGAGCCUAUUAUUAAUUAUCGGCUUGCUAUCCCUAGCCUCCCCUAGUAACCAAUAAUGCAAUGCGAUCGAAAG
rnacentral:lncRNA from 1 species